rnacentral:lncRNA from 1 species
CCCAUGUGGUGUGGUGUGUGGGCUCCUUCCUAAGCUUCAAGAUCUGAUCUCAAAGCUCUCCUAUUCUUUCUUCCUAAAGAGAUCUUCAUCCCUCCUUCCUACGUUGGUUGGCAUGCGAGCAAAGUAGAGGAUCUGGACAUUCAGAUCUCACGAAGUGAGUUGAUUAAGAAAUCAAUCAACCUUGAUUAAAUCUUUCAUCGUGAUUCAAGAUAAAAUUUCAUAACCAUUAUAAAAAUUUUAACUUCUAAUCUAUUC